GUGGUUUUCAAGUCUUGGCUCCCUGGGUAGAUUCGUCAUUGAGAAAGUCCCUUCCCAUCAAAGGAGAAGUCGCCUCCUUCACUGCGUCAGGAAACAUUUCUUUCCAACAAUCUCGUCAGGACAUGCUUGAAUUUUGAAGCAAUGCAGACUCUCCGAUUCGGUUCUGUGCAUUCUUUACACUGCUUAUUCAUAUUAGUAUCAGCUAUUAUUACACAGGCACCUAGGAUUGCCUCAGUUGCUGUACCGAGUUCCAGCUGCUAUGUUCUUGAUAAUUCUAGUCGCCUUGUAGACUUUAGCAGCUGGAUUGGGCACGAAUUUGAUUAUGAAGGAAAGGGAAAUACUGACUUAGCUGUUCGAUUUUGCAAAGACGUUGAGAAAAGAUCACAAACGGGAUAUGUGGAUUUUGGCCGAUUUGAUAAGUUCAACUACUUUGCUUCUGGUUCAGGACAUGUUGAUUUUGUUCAACGGUUUUACAAUGGUGACCUGGCCAAUUGUGAGCAUAGUUAUGACAAACUGGGACGAACAGCUCAGGUUGGUUGUAAUUUUGAAACCAAGCCUUUUUAGUGACAAACCCAAUCUUCCUCUGUCCGCACGGACAAAAAUAAAUACAUAAGGGAAGAAGGAAAAAGAUAUCACUUUUUUAAGAAGUUUACACAUCUCUACAGCUAUUUGACGUCAGGUUCUAUGCAUCAAUUGUCCUCAUGAAUCUUUAUGAGUUUUAUAAAUAUUUCUUUCCUGCAAUUGCAGGUGAAUAUCAUAUGUGGAAAUUGUUUAAAUAGACGAUGCAAAGGUUUGUGAAUACUUUAUUUAUGAAUUUUAACUCCCAGUUUCUUCAUACAAAAAGAAUUUAUAUACCUAUUAUUUUUUUUAGUAGUUGUUAAACUAUUUAAGUUUGGUCAAUGUUUUGUACCCUCUCCGUGGUUUCAUGAAACCAGAAUUGAUUAGUCAAUUUGAGUGACUAUAAUAUAACAAUUACAAAACUUGUAUAUUCAGUGCGGAAAAAGAAACAUUGAAUAGCAAGUCAAUAUUAUAGUAAAUGAUUGUUUAGUGAAAUUGAUGCACACUUAAGACUCAUUUGUAAAUCCAUAAAGCAUUAAAAUGGAUGGUUAGAACUAUUGGAUUUAAUUAUUUUGAUUGCUGGUGCAUGUAUGGAAAGGGAGAAUGAUAAAAACUAUAUUUACCCUCUACUGCUGUCUUAUGAUUUCCGAGUUCCCUUGGCUGCUUUGAACUGUCACAAGGCUGACUGAGCCUGAGCUUUGAAAUGGCUGGAUGUUAAGCUUAAACACAUAAUGGGAUUGUAGCUCCAGCUUGCCAUACUUUUUCUUCUGGGAUAAGACUGCAUACAUCAACCCUACCCAGAGCCUACAAGUGCAGGAUGCUUAAUGCCAUGGGUCACCCUAUUUUGGCUUGCAUUACUUUUGCAGUUCUUUCUGCUAUCUUUAUCCUUUUUGCAAUUCUUGUUUCUAUGGAUUUGAAUUGCCUAUCAGUCAAAUAUUUCGUCAGUAAUCAAUGAGCAGUGUCAUUGUCUUUGUUGUCAUAUCUUAGGUGAACUUGGAUGCAUAUGCAAUAUCACAUAUGACUCAGACUGCAGAGUUUUUGUUGAACUUGCUGUUCUGUGUGAGAAACGUGGCCCGCGAGUAUUCAAGGGCUUCACUGUUGGAUUUCAUCCACGUUCAUGGGAAAUUGUUUACAAUGGCUUGACUCAACCAGGUUAUGAAAAAUCUUACCAGGACUUUAGCUUCAGCACUGAACAAGCUCAUGUUACCCUUUAUAUGACUGCAAUUGCUUCCCUUUCUACUUUGGUGCGAAAACCCUUUGUUAAGGUUCUUCCUGAGAAAGGUCUUGGGGUUAGUUUGUCCGGCUCGGGUGCAAUCGGGAAUUCUCCUUCAACUUUGUCACCAACAAUGUUGAUUGUGAAUUGGAGAUGUCUGGAGGUCCGUGAUACACCUUAUGAAGUUAAUGUCACAAUCCCAAUAGAGGGUUAUGAACCUAUUCAGUUUUUUCUUACAAAAAAGUGUGGUAAGCUUUUAUUCCUUUCACAAAGCAAAAAUUUUCUCUCUUCCAUCCUACUUAGCUCUUAAUCUUAUCAUCAGUUAAAUCCUUUAUGAAUUUUUAGAUGGAAAAAAGAAAUAGAACCAAUCAUAACAAGUUCUUUGGCUGAGAAACAUAGCCUUGUGAUUAAACUAUAUUGCUUGAGUUGGCUGGAUGUCUGCAAUAUGCCAUAUAUAAAUGGCUCCAUAAAUGUGCCCUUUAACUUGCUGAAAUCCCCAAAUGUAACUGGCAGUGUCACUUCUUCAGCACAUGAUAAGAAAAGGUGACACUCUGAUUUGUUGGGGGCUAGUAGGACUGCCAGUAGAUCUUGAUACCAAUUUCUACCAAAUCCUUGUACCAUUUUCUGCUUUAAUUUCAUUUUCUGGUUGGUGGUUUAUGCUUAAGUUUCUAGUUUUCCUGAAGGCCCAGCUUGCUUGUUCAAAUUUUGCAGAACGCAGGGAGAAUCAAGAGGAAGACUCUAGACGAGGAUGGGCUAUCUUCGGGGUCAUAUCUUGCGUGUAUGACAAUUUUGACAAAUUCUUUUUCAUCUUAGUUACUGUUGAAAGCAUAUGCUUAUAUAUUUUGCAAAGUGUAUUAGUACUAGAAAUGUCUGAUGUGGGCAGUCAGUCUCUGUACUGCAGUCUUUAUGCCAUAUGCAUUUUUGAACUUGCAGAUUGUCCAAUGUGUUUGUAUAUGUAUGAAAUCUACGUUAGACUAGUUUGAGAUCAUGUAUGUGUCCUUGGCUUUUCACACAUCACUCAUAAAGCAUUGUUUCUACUCAAUCUUUUGUUAACCAGGCUUUACUCUUUUCCAUCAGCAAUUGAAAAAUGUCAGUGUCCUUAUUGGCACGUUACAAUUCUAUUAGAUAUUUUUUUAUCCACUAUGAAUUUUGAUAUUUGAACAAAUUGGAGUUGAGCAGAUUCUUUGUCUCAUCAACACUGUUUUGUUGUGCGGGGUUUAUCUACAAGACACGUGUGGAACGCCUGCGUGGGAUUGAUGCAUUGCCAGGCAUGACAACAUUAUCUGCAUGUUUGGAAAUUGCAAGUGGGGAUGGGCACGGAUAUGCACAAGCAGCAGAUGUCAACAGUGGCUACUCACGAGUGGAAGCCUCUUGGGAACGACCGUCUGCCUCAGCUCAAGGAACAUGGAGAACAAGUGACAGGAAAUAUGGUUCAAUUUAAGCUUUGUAUCUUGACUCAUUCGAGUUUUAGGAAAAUUUGCAAUUUAUGAGUUUUGAACUGAAGAUAUGGGAUGCAAAGUUGAUUUUGCCCACAGAACAUACUUGUAAGAGACUCUGAUUGAAUCAAAUUGAAGCUAUAGGGUAUUGUUGUACAGGAUUUUGUUUCGGAUUUUAAUGUUAAGAGUUGGAUCAGGAUUUCAAACUCAAAGAGUAAAGGAAAUGUUUGAUUUGCUUCAAUAAAGCUAGGGUUGUG
rnacentral:misc_RNA from 1 species